rnacentral:rRNA from 5 species
AGAGUUUGAUCAUGGCUCAGAUUGAACGCUGGCGGCAGGCCUAACACAUGCAAGUCGAACGGUAACAGGAAGCAGCUUGCUGCUUUGCUGACGAGUGGCGGACGGGUGAGUAAUGUCUGGGAAACUGCCUGAUGGAGGGGGAUAACUACUGGAAACGGUGGCUAAUACCGCAUAACGUCGCAAGACCAAAGAGGGGGACCUUCGGGCCUCUUGCCAUCAGAUGUGCCCAGAUGGGAUUAGCUUGUUGGUGAGGUAACGGCUCACCAAGGCGACGAUCCCUAGCUGGUCUGAGAGGAUGACCAGCCACACUGGAACUGAGACACGGUCCAGACUCCUACGGGAGGCAGCAGUGGGGAAUAUUGCACAAUGGGCGCAAGCCUGAUGCAGCCAUGCCGCGUGUAUGAAGAAGGCCUUCGGGUUGUAAAGUACUUUCAGCGGGGAGGAAGGUGUUGUGGUUAAUAACCGCAGCAAUUGACGUUACCCGCAGAAGAAGCACCGGCUAACUCCGUGCCAGCAGCCGCGGUAAUACGGAGGGUGCAAGCGUUAAUCGGAAUUACUGGGCGUAAAGCGCACGCAGGCGGUCUGUCAAGUCGGAUGUGAAAUCCCCGGGCUCAACCUGGGAACUGCAUUCGAAACUGGCAGGCUUGAGUCUUGUAGAGGGGGGUAGAAUUCCAGGUGUAGCGGUGAAAUGCGUAGAGAUCUGGAGGAAUACCGGUGGCGAAGGCGGCCCCCUGGACAAAGACUGACGCUCAGGUGCGAAAGCGUGGGGAGCAAACAGGAUUAGAUACCCUGGUAGUCCACGCCGUAAACGAUGUCUACUUGGAGGUUGUGCCCUUGAGGCGUGGCUUCCGGAGCUAACGCGUUAAGUAGACCGCCUGGGGAGUACGGCCGCAAGGUUAAAACUCAAAUGAAUUGACGGGGGCCCGCACAAGCGGUGGAGCAUGUGGUUUAAUUCGAUGCAACGCGAAGAACCUUACCUGGUCUUGACAUCCACAGAAGAAUCCAGAGAUGGAUUUGUGCCUUCGGGAACUGUGAGACAGGUGCUGCAUGGCUGUCGUCAGCUCGUGUUGUGAAAUGUUGGGUUAAGUCCCGCAACGAGCGCAACCCUUAUCCUUUGUUGCCAGCGGUCCGGCCGGGAACUCAAAGGAGACUGCCAGUGAUAAACUGGAGGAAGGUGGGGAUGACGUCAAGUCAUCAUGGCCCUUACGACCAGGGCUACACACGUGCUACAAUGGCGCAUACAAAGAGAAGCGACCUCGCGAGAGCAAGCGGACCUCAUAAAGUGCGUCGUAGUCCGGAUUGGAGUCUGCAACUCGACUCCAUGAAGUCGGAAUCGCUAGUAAUCGUGGAUCAGAAUGCCACGGUGAAUACGUUCCCGGGCCUUGUACACACCGCCCGUCACACCAUGGGAGUGGGUUGCAAAAGAAGUAGGUAGCUUAACCUUCGGGAGGGCGCUUACCACUUUGUGAUUCAUGACUGGGGUGAAGUCGUAACAAGGUAACCGUAGGGGAACCUGCGGUUG